GAUGAACGCUGGCGGCGUGCUUAACACAUGCAAGUCGAACGAUGAAAGCGGGAGCUUGCUCCUGCUGGAUUAGUGGCGAACGGGUGAGUAACACGUGAGUAACCUGCCCUUGACUCUGGGAUAAGCGUUGGAAACGACGUCUAAUACCGGAUACGACCUUCGGAGGCAUCUCCUGGGGGUGGAAAGAAUUUCGGUCAAGGAUGGACUCGCGGCCUAUCAGCUAGUUGGUGAGGUAAUGGCUCACCAAGGCGACGACGGGUAGCCGGCCUGAGAGGUGACCGGCCACACUGGGACUGAGACACGGCCCAGACUCCUACGGGAGGCAGCAGUGGGGAAUAUUGCACAAUGGGCGCAAGCCUGAUGCAGCAACGCCGCGUGAGGGACGACGGCC
rnacentral:rRNA from 1 species